rnacentral:rRNA from 2 species
AUAAUGCAGUCGAACGAACUCUGGUAUUGAUUGGUGCUUGCAUCAUGAUUUACAUUUGAGUGAGUGGCGAACUGGUGAGUAACACGUGGGAAACCUGCCCAGAAGCGGGGGAUAACACCUGGAAACAGAUGCUAAUACCGCAUAACAACUUGGACCGCAUGGUCCGAGUUUGAAAGAUGGCUUCGGCUAUCACUUUUGGAUGGUCCCGCGGCGUAUUAGCUAGAUGGUGGGGUAACGGCUCACCAUGGCAAUGAUACGUAGCCGACCUGAGAGGGUAAUCGGCCACAUUGGGACUGAGACACGGCCCAAACUCCUACGGGAGGCAGCAGUAGGGAAUCUUCCACAAUGGACGAAAGUCUGAUGGAGCAACGCCGCGUGAGUGAAGAAGGGUUUCGGCUCGUAAAACUCUGUUGUUAAAGAAGAACAUAUCUGAGAGUAACUGUUCAGGUAUUGACGGUAUUUAACCAGAAAGCCACGGCUAACUACGUGCCAGCAGCCGCGGUAAUACGUAGGUGGCAAGCGUUGUCCGGAUUUAUUGGGCGUAAAGCGAGCGCAGGCGGUUUUUUAAGUCUGAUGUGAAAGCCUUCGGCUCAACCGAAGAAGUGCAUCGGAAACUGGGAAACUUGAGUGCAGAAGAGGACAGUGGAACUCCAUGUGUAGCGGUGAAAUGCGUAGAUAUAUGGAAGAACACCAGUGGCGAAGGCGGCUGUCUGGUCUGUAACUGACGCUGAGGCUCGAAAGUAUGGGUAGCAAACAGGAUUAGAUACCCUGGUAGUCCAUACCGUAAACGAUGAAUGCUAAGUGUUGGAGGGUUUCCGCCCUUCAGUGCUGCAGCUAACGCAUUAAGCAUUCCGCCUGGGGAGUACGGCCGCAAGGCUGAAACUCAAAGGAAUUGACGGGGGCCCGCACAAGCGGUGGAGCAUGUGGUUUAUUUCGAAGCUACGCGAAGAAGCUUACCAGGUCUUGACAUACUAUGCAAAUCUAAGAGAUUAGACGUUCCCUUCGGGGACAUGAAUACAGGUGGUGCAUG